UGUUUCUUAGCUCAGUUGGUAGAGCAUUCGGCUGAUAACCGAAAGGUCACUGGUUCAAAUCCAGUAGAAACAACCA
rnacentral:tRNA from 1 species